UAGGCAUGAGCUCCCUGGCGCAGUCGAGCGUGGAUCAGUGGAAGAAGUGGAGAGGGAGGAGCAGUGGGUUCAGAUGGUUCCAGUUCAGAGUGUGUUCGAAGCUUCACCACCAUUACCCUCACCACCUCAAUCGUCACAGCGCCAUGUGUUGUGUGUGGGGAGUCGGGGAUCCAGCUUUCAAGGUACAAUGGUACAUGACCCUAGCAUUGCUGCUGCCGCCGCCGCCUUCAUCCCUUCUAAACUUGUCAGUGUGACCGGCGGUCCUCCAUUACUUCUCGGCGUGGAUUGGCUGCUUUCUGAACUGUGAAUCGUGAGACUCGAUCAGUGGCAUCUGCUGGUGUGGUAAGCUCAGGAUCAGAAAGAAGAGAAUGCUGUUCAAGAAAGCCCCAGUGCAUGUAAUUGGAGACAGCAUGGUGAGGAAGACCCCAGACUUUGUGAGAAGGAAACUGGAGUGUACCUACAAAUUCUUGGAAGUGAAGGAAAUGGAGGACAAGUUUUACGGGAGAGACGGAGUCUACUUCAACUAUGUUGAGAAUGAAAAGCUAGGACGAUGACUGGCUGCUGAGUGGAUGAGGGCGAGGCAUGAUGACCCUCGGACGACGGCAGACAGGGAAGAGAAGCAACCAGGCGACCUUCUACAGUCUGUCAAGUUACUGUCAAAGGCCUGGUUUCAGGAAUGAAGCCACCUGUAGCUACAUCAAGAUCAUCUCCUGAUGUGGUAAUUCAGAGUUUAAGGCAGUGGUAAUUCAGUUUAAGGCAGUAAUAAUGGGACUGCUACUGUGUGGCAGCUGUAUAUAAUUAUACACCACCUUACUACUGUCUAAUCUGAAUUUUAGAUGCUACUGGAAGGUGUACUGUACUGUCUACAACCUGAAUUUUGGGUGCAACAGGAAGGUGUAAUAUAACAAGAAAAAUUAAGAAAAUUAUUAAAAAGAAAAAAUAAACUGC